UAAAAUAACAAUUAUGUUUAUUUAAAUGAAGAGAAAUAAAAUAAUAAUUUAUUAUUUUUUCCAAUCUUUCAUCUUUUUCCAAAAUGACUCUAUUAUAAAAUCCAUUAAUUAAAUAUUAUAAUAAGUAAAUUGAUUAUAAUUCCUCCAAUAAUUCUUUUCUACCCAAUGUCAAAAUUGAACUUUAAAAAUAUUUUUUACCUGUUAUGUAAAUAUACUAUUUAUAUUAUAGUGAAUUAUCUUUAAUCAUUAUUAUUACUAAUAUAUAAAUAAUAAAUAAUUUUGCGCCCCGAUUCGUGGGUCCCUCGCCCCGGCGCCCCAUCGCCCCGCGACCCGGGGUCCAGCCUCAUCGCCCCGGACCGACCCGCGACCCUAACAACACUGGUGGCUGCUGCACUCUGCAGAAAUGCAGUUGUGUACUCGUGCAUUUAUUGGCCUCUUUUGUUAUCAGUUUGCAGGGUGCUUUAGCUCCCACUUGUGACUGCAUACUCACUUAAAUUUGUGUACCCUUUUCGCAGGUACCAGCUGGAGUGCAGGUGGUUAGGAUUGGAGUGGAAUUGCUUUGGUUCUAUCUGUGAUUUGCUGCACUCGGCAGCCUGUGGUGUCCUGCCACUCGCAGCCUGCCAUCUUACUUCUUUUAGCAAGUUUUGGUCUCCAACUCUAAGUUUGAGAGGCUAAUUGCCUUCGUCCACCAAUACACCGUCUCGGCCCAAACUUCUGUCGGUAGACGAGCCGAUGGCCGGUGCUAAACGUGCCGAAGCUAGCUCUCUUCUUCCCCAUCGCAUUGUAAUAGAGUAGUUUGACUUUAAAUUUUCUAUCUUCGUUCCAACGUGUAUGUAAAACUCAAUAAUAGUUGGUGUGUAUUUUCUUUCAAACAUUUGUAAUUUAUUAGCUUGAAAUUCUAUGUAUUGUAUUUCUUUUACUCAAGAAAUAAAAUAAUACUCUUUCAUUCUCA